rnacentral:rRNA from 1 species
AUUGAACGCUGGCGGCAGGCCUAACACAUGCAAGUCGAACGGUAACAGGAAGAAGCUUGCUUCUUUGCUGACGAGUGGCGGACGGGUGAGUAAUGUCUGGGAAACUGCCUGAUGGAGGGGGAUAACUACUGGAAACGGUAGCUAAUACCGCAUAACGUCGCAAGACCAAAAAGGGGGACCUUCGGGCCUCUUGCCAUCGGCUGUGCCCAGAUGGGAUUAGCUAGUAGGUGGGGUAACGGCUCACCUAGGCGACGAUCCCUAGCUGGUCUGAGAGGAUGACCAGCCACACUGGAACUGAGACACGGUCCAGACUCCUACGGGAGGCAGCAGUGGGGAAUAUUGCACAAUGGGCGCAAGCCUGAUGCAGCCAUGCCGCGUGUAUGAAGAAGGCCUUCGGGUUGUAAAGUACUUUCAGCGGGGAGGAAGGGAGUAAAGUUAAUACCUUUGCUCAUUGACGUUACCCGCAGAAGAAGCACCGGCUAACUCCGUG